CCUCCUUUUUCUGCGUGGCAGUUGCUGCAUGGCAGUUGCAACCCUCCUUUUUUUGAGUGGCAGUUGAAAAAUGAAAGUACCUCUUGGUCCCCUCCCACAACCAACCAGACUUGAGGGCCUACUUUUCAUUCUGGUCCCCUCCCACAACCAAUCAGACUGGGCAUGGGCCAAUGGGAAACCUCUAGAGGGCAUUUAAGCCCCAGAAAAUUCUGUAGCUAUUGCUCUUGAGCCAUUAGCUUGAUCCUACUUCUGCUCUGUGGAGUAUACUUUCAUUUAAAAUAAAUCUCUGCUUUUCUUGCCUUGUGUGUUUUGUCCAGUUCUUUGUUCAAAACACCAAGAACCUAAACAACUAUGCUCAACUGGUAACACAUUUUGGUGAGCCAGCAAGGAGGUAAGCCCAAAGUUUGGGAUUUGGUUUUACUGUUUCCUCUUUCUCUCUCUUUUUCCUUUUCAAGCUGGGAUUCUUGAUGGACACUGUGCCUAAGCAUGGAGGCAACUGCAGGUUUCUGGCCAGGGUCACUCUCUGGUGAAAAUGAAAGGUCCAUGUGGAAACACCUGACUGCCACCACCUGGUUCAGGGUCUUGCACUGUCACCUACGCUGGAGUACAGGGAUGUGACCUCAGCUCACUGCAACCUCCACCGCCAGGCUCAAGAAAGCUUCUCAUCUCAGCCUCCCAAGGAGCAGGAACUACAAGUGCACACCACCAGGCCAAUCUAUCUAUCUAUAUUUAUCUAUAUCUAUAUCUAUAUCUAUAUCUAUAUCUAUAUCUAUAUCUAUAUCUAUAUCAUCUAUAUCAUCAUCUAUAUCUAUCAUCUAUAUCUAUAUCUACAUCGAUAUCUAUAUUUUUUUAAACUAGAGACAGGAUUUCAUCACAUUGCCUAGGCUGAUCUUGAACCUUUGACCUCAAGUAAUUCACCUGCCUUGGCCUCACAAAGUGCUAGAAUUACAGGUAAGAGCCACCAUGGCCAGCAAAAAAUUCAGAAUUCUAUCAGAUAAAGUUAACAAAGAUAUUAAAAUAUAAGAAUAACACAGAAAUUGUUGAGUUAAAUAUGCAGUCUACAUGAUGAAGAAUGCAUCAGAGUCUCUUAAUAGAAUUAAUCAAACAGAAGAAUCAAUGAGCUUGAAGAUAAGCUAUUUGAAAAUAUAGUCAGAGGAUACAAGAGAAAAAAGAACAAAAACAAAGAAGCAUGCUUACAAGAUCUAGAAAAUAGCCUCUAUAAAAGUUAUUGGCCUUACAGAGGUGGUAGAGAAAGAGAUAGGGGUAGAAAGUUUACUCAAAGGAAAACUAUCAGAGAACUUCCCAAACCUAGAGAAAGAUAUCAACACUCGAAUACAGGAAGGUUAUAGAACACCAACCAGACUUAACUCAAAGAAGACUACCUCAAGGCAUUUAAUAGCCAAACUCCCAAAAGUCAAGGAUAAAGAAAAUAUCCUAAAAGCAGCAAGAGAAAAGAAACAACAUACAAUGGAGCUCCAAUACGUCUGGCAGCAGACUUUUCAAUGGAAACCUUACAGGCUGGGAGAGAAUGGCAGACAUGUUUAAAUUGCUGAAAGAAAAAACUUUUGGCUGGGCAUGGUGGCUCAUGCUUGUAAUCCCAGCACUUUGGGAGGCCAAGGUGGGCAGAUCACCUGAGGUCAGGAGUUUAAGACCAGCCUGGCCAACAUGGUGAAACCUCAUCUCUACUAAAAAUAAAAAAUUAGCCUGUAUUCCCAGCUAGUCGGGAGGCUGAGGCAGAAGAAUCGCUUGAACCUGGGAGGCAGAGAUUACAUUGAGCCAAGAUCACAUCACUGCACUCCGGCCUGGGUGACAGAGUGAGAUUCUGUCUCAAAAAAAGAAAAAAAAAAAGAGAAAACUUUUAUUCUAGAGUAGUAUAUAGGGCAAAAAUAUCCUUCAAGCACAAAGGAGGUACAGACCGUCCAAUACAAAUGUAAUGAGGGAUUUCAUCAACACAAAACCUGUCUUAUCAGAAAUGGUAAAAGGAGUUCUUCAAUCUGAAAGGAAAGGGUGUUAAUGAGCAGGAAGAAAUCAUAUGAGGGCACAAAAGUCAGUGGUUUUAGUAAGCCUAUAGAAAGACACAGAAAAGUAUAACAUCAUAAUUGUGGUGUGUGUAAACUUUUCUUGGCUUAAGUAGAAAGACUAAAUGAUGAAUCAAUAAAAAAUAAGAGCUACAACAACUUUUUUAAGGGGUAGACAAUACAGUAAGACAUAUAGAGAAACAAUGAAAAGUUAAUAGGAGGAAUGAAGUUAAAGCGUAGAAUUUUUAUUGUAUUUUUGUAUAUUUGUUUCUUUGUUUAUGCAAUAACUUAAGUUGUUAGUUUAAAAUAAAAUAGAAUUUGCAAGUAUUAUGGUAACCUCAAAUCAAAAAACAUACAAUGGAUACAUAGAAAAUAAAAAGCAAUAAAUUAAAGCAUACAACUAGAGAAAAUUAUCCUCACUAAAAGAAAAACAGGAGAAAAGAAAAAAAGAAAAGACUAGAACAACCAGAAAACACUAACAAAAUGUCAGGCAUAAGUCCCUACUUGUCAAUAAUAACAUUAAAUGAAAAUGGAUUAAACUCCCCAGUCAAAGACAUAGAGUGGCUGAAGAGAUUAAAACACAGGAUCCAACAAUCUGUUGCCUACAAGAAACACACUUCAUCAAUAAAGACACACAUAGACUGAAAAUAGAGAAAUUGGAAAGGAUAUUCCAUGCAAAUGGAAACCAAGAAUGAGCAGGAGUACUUAUAUUUAUAUCAGACAAAAUAGAUUUCAGGACAAAAACUGUAGGAAGAGACAAAGAAGGUCAUUAUAUAAUAAUAAAGGGAUCAAUUCAGCAAACAAAUAUAACUAUUGUAAAUAUAUAUGCAUCUAAUACUGGAGCACCCAGAUGUAUACAGCAAAUAUUAUUAGAGCUAAAGAGAGAGAUCAACUCCAAUACAAUUAUUGCUGGAGACUGCAACAUUGAACUUUCAGCGCUGGACAGAUCUCUGGACAGAUCUCCCAAACAGAAAAUCAACAAAGAAUCUUCGGACUUACUCUAUACUAUAGAACAAAUAGACCUAUAGUUAUUUACAGAAUAUUUAUUCAACAACGGCAGAAUAUACAUUUUUGUCCUCAGCACGUGGAUCAUUCUCAAGAAUAGACCAUAUUUUAGGUCACAAAACAAGCCUUAAAACAUUCUAAAAAUUGGAAUAAUACAAAACAUCUUCACUGACCACAAUGGAAUAACACUACAAAUCAAUAAGAGAAAUUUUAGAUACUAUACAAACACAUGGAAAUUAAACAAUAUGCUCCUGAAUGAUUAGUGGAUCAAUGAAGAAAUUAAGAAGAAAAUUGCAA
rnacentral:lncRNA from 1 species